rnacentral:rRNA from 1 species
CCUACGGGUGGCAGCAGUGGGGAAUAUUGGGCAAUGGAGGAAACUCUGACCCAGCAACGCCGCGUGAAGGAUGAAGGUUUUCGGAUUGUAAACUUCUGUCGCGAGGGAUGAAGAAUGACGGUACUUCGUAAGAAAGCGCCGGCAAACUACGUGCCAGCAGGCGCGGUAAUACGUAGGGGGCGAGCGUUGCCCGGAAUGACUGGGCGUAAAGGGAGUGUAGGCGGCAUAUUAAGUUAUGUGUGAAAGCUCGCGGCUCAACCGCGGAAUUGCACAUAAAACUGGUAAGCUGGAGUGCAGGAGAGGUAAGUGGAAUUCCCGGUGUAGCGGUGAAAUGCUUAGAGAUCAUACAGAACACCGAUUGCGAAGGUAGCUUACCAAGCUACUUCUGACGUUGAGGCACGAAAGCGUGGGGAGCAAACAGGAUUAGAUACCCCUGUAGUC